rnacentral:rRNA from 1 species
AUUGAACGCUGGCGGCAGGCUUAACACAUGCAAGUCGAGCGGGGAAAGGUAGCUUGCUACUUAACCUAGCGGCGGACGGGUGAGUAAUGCUUAGGAAUCUGCCUAUUAGUGGGGGACAACAUCUCGAAAGGGAUGCUAAUACCGCAUACGUCCUACGGGAGAAAGCAGGGGACCUUCGGGCCUUGCGCUAAUAGAUGAGCCUAGGUCGGGUUAGCUAGUUGGUGGGGUAAAGGCCGACCAAGGCGACGAUCUGUAGCGGGUCUGAGAGGAUGAUCCGCCACACUGGGACUGGAACACGGCCCAGACUCCUACGGGAGGCAGCAGUGGGGAAUAUUGGACAAUGGGGGGAACCCUGAUCCAGCCAUGCCGCGUGUGUGAAGAAGGCCUUUGGGUUGUAAAGCACUUUAAGCGAGGAGGAGGCUACCGAGAUUAAUACUUUUGGAUAGUGGACGUUACUCGCAGAAUAAGCACCGGCUAACUCUGUGCCAGCAGCCGCGGUAA